AUCUCAAGAUAUUUUGAAACAUUUUACAUAUACCCUUUAAUUUUAUCAAAAUACCUAAACUACCCUUUACCCCUUUUCUAAACCCUAACCCUCUCCUAACACACACACAUACCCUGCUGAGAAUGAAAGAAAGAAAAAUAGCGAGAGAAAACAGAGAGGGAGAAGAAAGGAAGAAGAGGGGGAGAAGGGGGUGACACUGGUGAGGCUGGACGUCGCCGUCGUUGCUGCGGAUCAGGUAGGGAGAGGGAGAAGGAGUUCGAAACAGGGAAUGGGGGAAGGAGAAAGGAAGAUGCACGAGAGAGGAGGUGCUGUCCCUGGAGACCGUCCCUACCGCUGGAAGGGGAGCUUCGUUGUUGCUGUCGCGGCUGCAGGUAUGGGGCUUCGAAGAGAGAGAGAAACACAAUGGCUAGAGAGAGGAGAGUCUCGCGAGGAGGGGGAGCUGGUACGCCUCCGCCGUUGUCGCAAGCUGCGCCACCGUGCCUCUGGUCACCGGGGAUCGCGCUGACGUCACCGGAAGCCGCUGUUGGAACCUCUGCAAGUUUGCCUUAGCUCAGCUUUGCUUCUGCCUGUUCUGUCCUUGCCGGUGGGGGGUCACCGGAGCUGCUGAUGCUCCAUCCUCUUAUUUCCUUUGUGAGAAAUCGAAGUUGUUGCUACUACCUCGGUCCAAAUUUCGUGCUCUUUCAUUCCGUUCUACUUCAACCUUCCUUGGCACUCUGGUUUGGUUUCUUCGGUCCCUUGGGACCAAUUUG